CCUACGGGGUGCAGCAGUGGGGAAUAUUGGACAAUGGGGGACACCCUGAUCCAGCGACGCCGCGUGAGUGAAGCAGUAUUUCGGUACGUAAAGCUCUAUCAGCAGGAAAGAAAAUGACGGUACCUGACUAAGAAGCCCCGGCUAACUACCUGCCAGCAGCCGCGGUAAUACGUAGGGGGCAAGCGUUAUCCGGAUUUACUGGGUGUAAAGGGAGCGUAGACGGCAGCGCAAGUCUGGAGUGAAAUGCCGGGGCGCAACCCCGGAACUGCUCUGGAAACUGUGAAGCUGGAGUGCAGGAGAGGUAAGCGGAAUGCCUGGUGUAGCGGUGAAAGGCGUAGAUAUCAGGAGGAACACCGGCGGCGAAGGCGGCUUACUGGACUGUAACUGACGUUGAGGCUCGAAGGAGUGGGGAGCAAACAGGAUUAGAUACCCCAGUAGUC
rnacentral:rRNA from 1 species